CCCGGGGGCUGCUCCUGUGCAGGGUGAGCUGGAAGCUCGUGGGGCUGUGCAGGGUCAUGGUGGGGCUCUGCUCUGCCCUUUAAAGCUGUUCCACCUCCCAGCUUUGGCAACAGUGCUGGAAGAUGAGGGAUGAGAGAAGGAUGGGAAAACCUCAUCUUGGAAGAGUCAGGGAUCCUGGGAAUAUGUGGGCUUCUCACCCAGCCCUUCUCUUUACAACCUGGCUGCAUUCACUCCUACUGCCUCAGAGCUUUCUGGAUUAUAGCUGCUCCUACUUUUCCCCAUUUAAUCAGGAAAUUCUCCUUAUUCUGUCUUUCAUGAGACCAAUUCUCUUGUGGAAUGGCAGCAUCGAUUUAGAGACUUCACACCGACUGUCACCCAUUCAUUGAUGGUGAUAACAUCACCGUAAGGGCAGAGAAAUUUGGUAUAUUGGGGAAAAAAAUAACUUGACUGACAAGUGUCAUAAGCACAGGAUAGAUCUAUGUGAAUAAGUGUUUAUAGGAAGAGAAAGCAUAUGGAUUUUACAUAUGUUUUCCUGUUUUUUUUUGUUUGGGUUUGGUGGUUUUUUUUGGUGGGGUAUAUCAGUAUGUGUUACUAAGUGUGGACAAACUGGAGCUGUUGUUAGUUACUGAUGAAUAAUGUGGCCACAGUGAGCAGGAAACAGCUUUUUGUCACAUUUCCUUUGGGGGCUGCUGCUCACCAAGGCCAGCAGAGCUCCUGUGCCAGCUCUGGAGCUGCUCCCUGAGCAAGGGCUGGCUCGUUUGUGCUGCUGGAGUGACAAAUAAUGGGAUUUCACCGACUGUUCUGCUUCUCCUUGUGCAUGUACAGGACUGAAAGGAAGCUUUUGGUAGUGCCAGUGAUCUUCCUGCAGAUAGAUCCAUAAGUGCAGACUGGAGCUCCAGUGGCACGGGUGGAUGGAAGCACUUCUGUAAGAAUGGGUAAAUGCAAUCAAUAAUGCCACCUGACAUCCAGGAGAGAGGAAAUAUCUUUACAACAUCAAGCAAUGCGAUCUGAUCCAUGUUUGGGGUAUUGGGAGACUCAUCAAAUAUCUGUGCAACAAGCAGGAAUUGAUUUUACAGUCCCUGCCCACCUGAUGUGAAUGUGUGUGUGCAUCACUGAGGAGCAUUCAUGCAAACUUUGCUGAGCUGCUGUAGUUCCUUCAAGAGACUCUUCUGAAGCCUGGUUUGAUUUGGAGGGGGAAAAGGGGUCAAGAUAACAGAAAACUUCCAGGGCAGAACGGGAAUAGCAUGGUGGUGAAUUGGGUUUAAGUAUUAUAGAAGGAUUUGAAUGUCCUUCAGAGAAGCAUUCAGCUCAGAUUUCACGUCAGAACUCUGCCCUUGUUUGCUGCUCAUUGUGAAUAUAAAAUACAUCAAAGUAACCAAAAUGGAAGAUUUGAAAUGAAGAAUUCAGGAAAGAAAAACAUGACAACUUUAUUAAACAGUCUGCCAUUGCAUAAUCUUUGAAAAAAUCUUCAACAUGAUAUGUUUGUUAAUUUUAAUUUGAAAUAUUAUAUUUUUUUCACCAAGAUUUCUUAUCAGUUGAUUCUUUGUGCCAGAAGUCCAAGUGAAUUGUAAGAUAUGGAUUUUAAAACUAUAGGAGUCAAGAAGAGAUGAGCAUCUUUGUUCCUGUUUGGGAUGAUUUCAGUGUAUUUUUCUAAACAGAAAGAUCUAUUUGAAUUUAAAUUAUUUGAUCCUCUUUCCUUUUUUAUCUUCUUCCUUGUUUUUUAGGCUUUGUGGGAAAAAAUAGCUCUGUUCUUUGCAAGGACAGUGGAAAUGAGGUUUAUUUAAUUUGUGAGUUUGUUGCUCUCUUUUUUGAGAUCUAAUCCUGACAACAUUAGCCUGGCUGACUUUUCACAUUUAAAAGUUUUCUGAGAGAGUGGAGACAAGAAAUUCUGUGUGAGAGCAAGGACUGCAGCUUGAUUUCCUUAUGAAAUAAUGAGGAUUUCUUUUACUAAAUACUUCCUGCCAGAAAGAUUUGAAGAGGUAUUUAGCAGCAGCAAAUAUCAGCUGUGGAUUUCAGUUCUGCAGGUUUAAAAAAGCCUAAAAAGUGAAGGUUCAGCCUGGAGGGUGAAUGGGCAAUAAUUGGUCCAGAGCACUGAGGGGCUGAAGGAGGCUCUGCUGGUUGGGAUUUGAUGGUUAUCAGCUUGUUGGAGUUUUUUGGGAUGUUCUGAUGCUUUGUGUGUGUUUGUGCUUCUCCCUGCACUGGGGAUGGUUUCUGCUCCAUCCCGGUGCUCCCUGUCAGCCUGAGCUCUUUCACUUUCUGCUCACUUUUGAAACUUAAAGGAUUUCUGAAAAUCCUUCAUUCCCUGAGACCAAAAGCUUCUGUAAACCUGGGUAAGGCAGCUGCACUGGAGGUGUUUGAGGUGAUAUUGGCUGACAAUUUACCUCCCAGAUUUUUCUUGCCCUGCAGUGCCUCAGCAGUGACUAAAGCAAUGCUACAAAUUUGAUCAGUAUUCUUAUUUUUCACCCCCUCUGUCUUACCCCUGCUGCUUUACCCUUGAUUCAGUUCUCCUCUGUCCAAUUCUUUUUAAGAAGUAGUGGCUGUUUUCUGAUCCUGCUGAUCCCAAGUGGUUUCAAAUUCACUUUUUUUUUUUUUUUAAGAGUCAUUUCUCCAUGUUUAAAUAGAAAUCAGCAUGAAGAAGGCGGCAGUGCUUCAACAGGGAUUGAGCUGAAUAUAUUUCCUUCUGAGCUCAAUUAGCUCGUGCUCUUUAAUUUGACUUGGAGCUAUGAUUACAAUAACUGCAAAAAAAACCCCAAAUUCCAACAUUUUGUGUGGCCCUGAACCACAGUUAGGCUUCAAAAAAUGUGGCUUUAGGUCGAUAAAACGAAUUGUGGAGCUGUUCCCAAUUUGGACAUUCCUGUCUUAUUUCAAAUGGUCUCUUGGGCUUGUGUGUGCUGUAAAAGAGAGCUCCUGGGGGUGGUUUAUUGGCAAUAAACCACACUGUCAAUGCACUCUGAGGCUGCCUUUGCUCUGUCCCAGGUCCCUGCGCCGACUGAGCCGCGGUGGAGCUGGGCUGGGCUGCUGUGCCCAUGGAGAAAACCCAGGGAGAGCUUUCCCAGCUUUCAUUUGGGAGGCAAAGCAGAAAAAUCCUGUGUGUUCAUCUCAGCUGCUCCUGUGAGAGCAAAAUAAUCUCAGAGAAUCAAAGAGGAAUCAGAGCAGGCAUCCUACUGCUCGCCCACCUCGUGCCUAUCUGUCAGUCUGUGUGAGGAGAGGAAUAAUGGAUGAAGAGUGUCUCCUCUGAAAAAUAUUUAUGACAUGCUCAUUCCAGCUUGUUUCCUUGCUUUAUUUCAUUUUGGUAUUGAAAGAAAAGGCUGACAUUAUUCCUCUGUGGCUGAUGUCUUUAGGAAUAUUCAGGGUAGUCCCACUGAUUCAAGAUUUUCUUAUUAAUACCAAAAGUAAUCGACAUGGAAUUGCCAAAACAAACCCAAACCUUUCUGUUUUGGCUGCAAAAAUGCAGAAUAAACAUCUUCUAUCUGUCCUAAGCACAGGAUGGGUUAAUCUCUCAUGAAGUAAUCAUUAUCUUGCAAAUGUGACAGAGCUCAGGGGAAAUGAGGAAUAAAAUAAAUACCAUGCUGUUAUUUUUCUUUAUUAUUGGAAGACAUUCCACGCUGUCAAUGCAUGCAGAGAAUGUUGGACAAGUGUUUAAAGAGAUUAAGCUGCUGUUUGGGAAGGAUUUUCAGAGAAAGCUGGAGAAGCUAUUACACAGUGUGCUACUUCAUGUUUUAGAAGGUUAUAAAAACUUACAGAAUAGGUAACAAGAUCGAAUAAACAAAUACUUUUAUGCCUGCUGAACUGCGGGGGUGUUUGCCUAAAUAAGAGAGACAUAAGCUUUUCAUUUUUAAUACAAGUAAAAUUCCUUUCAAGUACCACUUUGUAUGACAUAACAACUGCAGAUCAUAGAAAAAUAUGGCUGAAAGAAAUUUUCAGCAUUUUUUUUCCAGUUUACUGCUCACCCAUAAGAAAAGAUGAACUAAACUAUUUGUGAUUAAUAUUUACUCUGUUUUCUAAAUAUCCUUUUUUAGCUCCAGCUCCCCAUGUUUCUUUCUCCCCUUUUUUUUCCUCUUUUGAAUUAAACUUUAAACCAGUUCACUGUACCUUUUUACAAAUAUGUGAUGAUUUGAACAAUAAAAGGGAAAUUCAUGAGGACCUUAGGGAACUUUGCAAGGUAAGUCAUGUAUACAGUAAGAGUUUGACUUUUUAAACUCUGUCUUAAGGGGAAUUUAGGGAGAAGAAGAAAUGACUGCUGGAAAUGUCUAAUAUUUUAUGCUUAACACUCUUUUGCUACAAAUAAAUGAAGAUCUCUGGCUGUGUGUAGCAUCUGUCUUUGAAUAGGGCCAGACACUGAAAAGUUUUAUAAAAUGAGUCUCCUUUGAUUCUAGAAGAAAAUAGGAAUUGUGGACAAACCCAUUAUGCUUUUGGUAUCUCUCCCCAUUUCCACCUCUUGUCCCCAGUCAUUUGGGAAAAUGGUGCAAUUUGUACCUGAUAAUUUGGUGAAUGGUGAAUUUUGGAGCUUGAUAAUAUUAAAGAAUUGUCUUAAGAAAAUGCUGUCUGUGCCCAUCAUUUGGGGUCUGUUUGAGGAGCCGUGUGAUGGGUGAGUCAGAAAUUCCAUCCCAGCCACAGAAAAUCAGUGGAGACAGGAGGAGCAGGUGGGAAUGGGAUUUGGAAAUGUUGGAUUUAAAGCCAAUGUCCUGUUGAACUGAAAUGGACUCUGGGGGUGUCUGAAAAAUAUCCCUGACGUGAGGAAUAAAUCAACAGAGCAAUACUGCUUUAAAUACUCGUGUCUGAAAGCAAAACUCCUCCAGUGUUGGCACGAAAAGGGAGCAUUUCCUGAUGGAGGGGGUUUCUCUGGUUGUUGGCAAUUACCCUGUAGUGACUUGUGCCCAUCAGCACUGGGGGAGUUAAAUGGAGAGCAGUGAGCACUGGGAAGAGCCGUGGAGCCCCAGGUUUGUCACAGCAUCACAGAAUGUCAUGGUGGGCUUUGAUAUCAGAAAGAGCCACAGAGAUAAGCAGGAUAACGUUACUGUGUCAGGAUAGCGGGACAAUAAAUGCAUAACAGCUGUUAUUAGACACUGGAAACACAAAAUAAAUCUGUUUCCAAGAGCACUGUUGUGAAUGAGAAAGGAGAGAGAGAGAAUUAUCCCUGGCUGGUGGCUUUUAGCAUAGCAGGGUAAGCUGCUUUCCUCCUCUGUGCUGUUUCUCAGGAGUUCUCCAGAAAAGGGACUCUUACACAGAGAUUGUUAGCUUGGCAGGAAAAGUCAGGUGUCCAAUUUUUGUUAAGUGUGUUUUUACUCAAGAUUCUGUACACUGUAUUUAUGGCAAAUAAACCAGUACUUACAGCAGGUUUGCACAGUGUUUGAUCCUGAUAAAAAUGUUGGAUUUUCCCAGUGUUUUGGAAACUCCAGAAAACUGGAGGGAAAAGGGCCCCCAAGUUACUUAUGUACUUCUGUUGGUCUAUUUGUAAUUUUUUUACUACUUUUUAAUUAGCAUCUGUAU